CUAAACUGAGGAAAGUCGGUCGAAACUGUCAGGCUAGAGGAACGUAGAGGGAGGCGGAACUCUCGGAGUAGCGGUGGAAUGCGUAGAGACCGAGAGGUACCCCGAUGGUGAAGACAGCCUCCUGGGCGUUUCCUGACACUGAAGCGCUAAGGCCAGGGGAGCGAAGGGGAUUAGAUACCCCCGUAGUCCUGGCUUCAAACGAUGUGGGCUUGGUGUCGGCUCCCGAAGAGAGUCGUUGCCGGAGCUAACGUGUUAAGCCCACCGCCUGGGGAUUACGUCCGCAAGGAUGAAACUCAAGGGAAUUGACGGGGGCCCACACAACCGGUGGAGCACGUGGUUUAAUUCGAUGAUAAGCGAAGAACCUUACCAGGACUUGACAUGUCGGUAGUAGGACCCUGAAAGGGGAACGAACUCAGACUUUGUCUGGGUAGCC
rnacentral:rRNA from 1 species